CUACGGGUUGCUGCAGUGGGGGAUAUUGCACAAUGGGCGAAAGCCUGAUGCAGCAACGCCGCGUGAAGGAAGACGGUUUUCGGAUUGUAAACUUCUAUCAGCAGGGAAGAAAAUGACUGUACCUGACUAAGAAGCCCCGGCUAACUACGUGCCAGCAGCCGCGGUAAUACGUAGGGGGCAAGCGUUAUCCGGAAUUACUGGGUGUAAAGGGUACGUAGGCGGCUGAUCAAGUCAGAUGUGAAAGCCCGGGGCUCAACCCCGGGACUGCAUUUGAAACUGGUUGGCUAGAGUGCAGGAGAGGAAAGUGGAAUUCCUAGUGUAGCGGUGAAAUGCGUAGAUAUUAGGAAGAACACCAGUGGCGAAGGCGGCUUUCUGGACUGUAACUGACGCUGAGGUACGAAAGCGUGGGGAGCGAACAGGAUUAGAUACCCCAGUAGUC
rnacentral:rRNA from 1 species